rnacentral:rRNA from 1 species
UACGGGGGGGGCAAGCGUUGUUCGGAAUUACUGGGCGUAAAGGGCUCGUAGGCGGCCAACUAAGUCCGACGUGAAAUCCCAAGGCUUAACCUUGGAACUGCGUCGGAUACUGGAUGGCUUGAAUUCGGGAGAGGGAUGCAGAAUUCCAGGUGUAGCGGUGAAAUGCGUAGAUAUCUGGAGGAACACCGGUGGCGAAGGCGGCUUCCUGGACCGACACUGACGCUGAGGCGCGAAAGCUAGGGGAGCAAACGGG